AUAAUGUCCUGACAGAAGGUCAGAGGGAUAAUGUCCUGACAGAAGGUUAGAGGGAUAAUGUCCUGACAGAAGGUCAGAGGGAUAAUGUCCUGACAGAAGGUUAGAGGGAUAAUGUCCUGACAGAAGGUCAGAGGGAUAAUGUCCUGACAGAAGGUCAGAGGGAUAAUGUCCUGACAGAAGGUUAGAGGGAUAAUGUCCUGACAGAAUAAAGGACAGAUGUCCUGACAGAAGGUCAGAGGGAUAAUGUCCUGACAGAAGGUUAGAGGGAUAAUGUCCUGACAGAAGGUCAGAGGGAUAAUGUCCUGACAGAAGGUUAGAGGGAUAAUGUCCUGACAGAAGGUUAGAGGGAUAAUGUCCUGACAGAAGGAUGGAGGGAUAAUGUCCUGACAGAAGGAUAGAUGGAUAAUGUCCUGACAGAGGAAGGAGCGAUAAUGUCCUGACAGAAGGAUAGAUGGAUAAUGUCCUGACAGAAGGAUAGAUGGAUAAUGUCCUGACAGAGGAUGGAGGGAUAAUGUCCUGACAGAUGAUGGAGGGAUAAUGUCCUGACAGAGGAUGGAGGGAUAAUGUCCUGACAUAAGGAUGGAGGGAUAAUGUCCUGACAGAAGGAUAGAGGGAUAAUGUCC